rnacentral:rRNA from 1 species
CCUACGGGUGGCUGCAGUGGGGAAUAUUGGACAAUGGGGGGAACCCUGAUCCAGCCAUGCCGCGUGUGUGAAGAAGGCCCUCGGGUUGUAAAGCACUUUCAGUGAGGAAGAACGCCUGGUGGUUAAUACCCAUCAGGAAAGACAUCACUCACAGAAGAAGCACCGGCUAACUCCGUGCCAGCAGCCGCGGUAAUACGGAGGGUGCGAGCGUUAAUCGGAAUUACUGGGCGUAAAGCGCGCGUAGGUGGCUUGAUAAGCCGGUUGUGAAAGCCCCGGGCUCAACCUGGGAACGGCAUCCGGAACUGUCCAGCUAGAGUGCAGGAGAGGAAGGUAGAAUUCCCGGUGUAGCGGUGAAAUGCGUAGCGAUCGGGAGGAAUACCAGUGGCGAAGGCGGCCUUCUGGACUGACACUGACACUGAGGUGCGAAAGCGUGGGUAGCAAACAGGAUUAGAUACCCUUGUAGUC